rnacentral:rRNA from 1 species
UACAGAGGUCUCAAGCGUUGUUCGGAUUCACUGGGCGUAAAGGGUGCGCAGGCGGUUGGGUGUGUCAGAUGUGAAAUCCCGAGGCUCAACCUCGGAACUGCGUCUGAAACUACUCGACUAGAGUACUGGAGAGGGUAACGGAAUUCACGGUGUAGCAGUGAAAUGCGUAGAUAUCGUGAGGAACACCAGUGGCGAAGGCGGGUCUCUGGACAGUUCCUGACGCUGAGGCACGAAGGUCAGGGGAGCAAACGGG